GAAAGUGUGUUGACUCUGGGAGAGAGUUCUGUGAGAGCUGACGCCCAGUUUGAAGGUUCAGCUCUCAUCUCCCCUGAGGUUGUUGGGGAUUCCCUGUAGUUUCUGUCCUCAGUCUAUCAGAAUCGGAGCACAUUCCAGUUUGCAGGGGCCUGGAGAAGAUGGGAUUGUGGGUGCAAAAGAAAGCCA